AUUGAACGCUGGCGGAAUGCUUUACACAUGCAAGUCGAACGGCAGCACGGGGCAACCUGGUGGCGAGUGGCGAACGGGUGAGUAAUACAUCGGAACGUGCCCAAUCGUGGGGGAUAACGUAGCGAAAGUUACGCUAAUACCGCAUACGAUCUACGGAUGAAAGCGGGGGAUCGCAAGACCUCGCGCGAAUGGAGCGGCCGAUGUCAGAUUAGGUAGUUGGUGGGGUAAAGGCUCACCAAGCCAACGAUCUGUAGCUGGUCUGAGAGGACGACCAGCCACACUGGAACUGAGACACGGUCCAGACUCCUACGGGAGGCAGCAGUGAGGAAUUUUGCGCAAUGGGGGAAACCCUGACGCAGCGACGCCGCGUGGGUGAUGAAGGCUUUCGAGUCGUAAAGCCCUGUCAAGUGGAAAGAAUUGUCGAUGUGCUAAUACCGCAUUGAUUUGACGGUACCACUAAAGGAAGCACCGGGCUAAACUCCGUGCCAGCAGCCGCGGUAAU
rnacentral:rRNA from 1 species